rnacentral:rRNA from 1 species
AGAAUCUUCGGCAAUGGGCGCAAGCCUGACCGAGCGACGCCGCGUGCGGGAUGAAGGCCUUCGGGUUGUAAACCGCUAUCAGUGGGGAGGAAAUGCCGGUGGGUUCUCCCAUCGGUUGACCUAUCCGCAGAUUAAGGACGGGCUAAGUUCGUGCCAGCAACCGCGGUAAGACGAACCGUCCAAACGGUAUUCCGAAUUACUUGGCUUAAAGGGUGCGUAGGCUGUCCGGUAAGUUGGGUGUGAAAGCCCUCGGCUCAACCGAGGAAUUGCGCCCAAAACUGCCGGGCUCGAGGGAGAUGGAGGUGAGCGGAACUAAGGGUGGAGCGGUGAAAUGCAUUGAUAUCCUUAGGAACACCAGUAGCGAAAGCGGCUCACUGGGUCUCUUCUGACGCUGAGGCACGAAAGCUAGGGGAGCGAACGG